GGACAAGUUAAAAAUAUAGUUAGCCAAAACACAUGAUGAUGGCAGUAGUUCCACUAAAAGAACAGUAAUAUUUUGCCCUAGCACUAAUAAUGUUCAAAAUUCGGUACUGGAAAAAAAUCUGAACUUUCCUUCAAAGAUUUUUAACACCAUGGAAUGCAAUUUCAGCUGAAACCAGUUUUACCAGUCUGACUGCUGCCCAGUUCAUGAACCAGGUCCAUUUCGGCCAAAAGUAGCCUAGUAUAAGGCAUACCAGGCAGUACACUUAAAGACCAGGUGGAGGUCAAAUUUCGACCAUUACCUAUAGGUGACGGUCAAUUUGACUGUUGGUUACCUUUUGGAGUUUAUUUAAGCCUCCCUCUGGGCUGACUCCUCUCCCCCAUUCUCACCCUCACUCACUCUCUUGGUUUUUUGUAUAAGCGUGGUUAAGCGCACUAAUUACCUCACAAACAGAUUAGGGAAGGUUUAUUUGGAUGAGGGAUUCAAUCUUCUAUUCCGUCAAACUUUUCUUUAAACCAAGGUAACCCAUACCCUAUUUUUCUAAGUUAAUUUCAUUUAAUUAGCUUCAAGACAAUAUGUAUCUUUGCAUGAUUAGGCAUUUAAGGACUAAAUGUGUAGUAGUCCAUGCAUACCUAAUUAACCCCUUCUUCAUCCAUGUAACGUUAACCCAACUAAGGGCUUAUUAUUUCAUGUACAACUAAUUAAGGCCUAAUAAGAGUUUGAGCUAAUUAAGGGAUCUGAAUGAAUCUCACCAAGACUCAUUUGGAUGAAGUCAUAAAUAUUAGUAGUGGUGCAAUUAUGAAUUAGUUUAAGCUUUGUUAUGUUUUUUUUUCCUAAGAAAAAUUAUCAAAGAGCAACAAUCUUACAGUCCAGCAUGAACACAUGCAGGUCGUUUAGAGCACCACCAUCAUUGGCAGUACAUUGAUUAGGGAAGAAGCCUAUCAUGUCUAACAUAACAUCUGGCUGGGAUUUCCAUUGUCAUGAAAUGCACAACAGUUCUGAUGGAGAUAAGUGCUUUCCGAGAAGAACUUAAAGCCCAAAAAGCACUAAAUUUGCACAAGAAGACCAUCUGGGAGGAAUUUGAUAGGCGUGCAACCAAAAAACCGAUCUAUCAUAAGUACGAAGCAUCACUGCGAUGAUGUCGACCCUAAGUUAGAAGUCAUCAUGUGUUUUCUUGAGGUAUCAAUACAUAUACAAAAAUGCAAUGAAACAUCGAUCGAGCGAUUCCUAGUACGAGUAUUACAGUGGCAGCGGUAUUGGAAGUGGACCAAAUUAACACAUGCGCACUCAUCAAACAAUCAGUCUAGAUGGUAGGUGACACUAGCGUGUCCAAUGUUCAACUGGCUUGCUAAGGCAAAGGAGAUGGCAAGACAACAAAUUGAUCCUUUGGACAUGAUUGAUGAGCAACUGCUUCAGUCCGAUGAUGAGUCCCAUAUAUCAUAUGACACAGAACCUUAACUAUAGUGCCCUCUAACCUCCAUGCCACAUUGUUCUUGUUGAUGCCAUGGGAGUAGUUCCAUGCAUGAGUACCAUGUCGACAUACAAUUUCAACAUAUUGAGGACCCCAAUCCACCGAUCAAGGACUCGCAUCAUUAGUUUGAUGGAAGAACAUACAUACAUACAUACAUACAUACAUACAUCGAUGUGUGAUAUGGUUCUUCUUUGAUGGGUCCAUAAAGAUACGGAUUUCUGCCUUUGAUGCUUAACCAAUAUAUAUUUUGAUUUUGUAUUCUAUUGUUUUAUAGAUUAUAUUUACCUUAUUGUUAUUUAAAUUGAUUAUUCAAUCCAAGAAAGGGGUGAAACAAUCAUGAAACAAGUUUUUCAAAAAAUAAUUCUAGCUGAUUUUUUAUCUUUUUGUAAACCAUUAUUUACCGGUGUACCAAGUGUCAUUGGUCCAUAAUUCCCCAACAAGGGUUAUAUCACUAGUCAAAAUAAAAUAGCCUCAAGUAUAUUUCUAUUAUUUAUAAUGAAGUUUCCCUUAUGUCUCCCUUUGUCUCACCUCAUAUCACUAAUCUCAAGUGAUUCAAUCAUCUAGCUACGACAUCUAUAGGUUUCUUUUGGACAUUUCCAUAUUUUUUUGGAAUAGUCUGCCUUCAUUUUAUCUUUUAUCAAAGAUAAACCUCAUUGUUCACUAAUGCAUAUAUGUUUCAAUCUAUAUUUACGAAUAACCCCACGCAUCCAUCUCGACAUCCUCGUAUCAACAAUACAAACAUUAAGCAUCUUUUUCCAAUGACAUUACAUGAAAACUUCUAACAAGGAAAAUACUCCGUAGAAUUACUCAAAUGAAAAGUAUAAGCUUGAUUUUCUCAUACAUUUGCAUAUAAAAGUACAUGUUUGUUUUUCACCUUUGACCAAUUCUUACAACAACAAUCUGUAAUGUCCCAACAAGUUGGAGUCAACUAUAAGAUUUUCUUUUUCAUUAUUGAGCGCUAUUUGAACCUAUAUCACUAGUCAAAUGAAGAGCAGUCAUUAUUGUUUUGUUGUUUCCCAAAAAAAAAAUUUCUUAGAUCUCUCUACCUCGUCUUGUACCAAUAUUCUCAGUUGACUCCCAUAGUCCAACUGAAACAUUUGUAUGUCUUCUCCAGCCCAAUAUCCACAUCUUAGCAACACUAGCUUGAUAUAUAUGUUGUUUUCUAAAUUCUAACUGCCCAAUAUUUGGAUCCAUUACUCAUCACUAGCCUUAUAAUUGUCUUAGAAAGUUUCCUUUUUAAUCUAAGGGGCAUGUGACAAUCACCUCUAUGGCCAUCCAUUGCUUACAAGACAAAAAAAAAACAAGUAUUUUAUUGAACUUUCUUUGAUACUGAGGGUUUAAAUAUAGAGUGACAAAAAAGACACCUAUUAUGUUAUUAUACAAGGUUGAUCGGAUAAUUAAUCUACGACAUUAAGAGCUUCUCUCAGAAUCCAUAUAGCACACAUUUCUAAAUAGUACAUAUUAUAAUGCUAUGUAGAUGUGGUGGAAGCUAGAAAGCCGAGAAAGUAGAUUCGGUAACAAAAUUCUCCAAGUCACAAAAGCUGAAAUGACAAAAAUCUGAGUAAAAUUGCACAAAAAUAUGCACCAGGCACAAGUCAUCCAUGAAUAAGGAUGAAUUUGCCAGUCUCGAGGAAUUAGGAAGACAAAAUAAAAAGGAAGCCAGACAGCAAGAAUGAUAUGAAAAGAUAUUUGGCAGUUAAUAUAAAAAAAUUAGAUAUAAUGGAAAGGGUAAGCGAAAAAAUGAGAUUCAACCAUGGCAUUAAGAUAAUCACUUCUAUUUUUCAUGUCAAAAAAAUGACAAGUAUCAAAAGUCAUUCUAGUUAUUUCUUGGUGUCUCUGAUAAGCAUAUAAGAUCCAAGUAAACAUUUACCUGGAAACUCUUUCUGUAAUCAUAAGAGUUCCAAACUCCAUUUACACUGCCUAGAAGUAUCACAAUGAACAACAAUGGGUUUUGUAAAACAAGCUAUGCUGCAUAAUAACUUUCCUUAAAACAACAAUAGAUGCAUAUAUAGGUUGCAUUUAUGUACUUUAUGUUCUCUUCCCCCUUUCAGAUAAGUAGAAUCUGUGGAUGAUGCGAAACCAUCGGCACAUGUUAGUCAGGAUUUCCUUUUCAGGAUUCAAGAAAUACUUAGCAUAGGCCAAACAUAUAUAGAUCAUACCAGGGGGUUCAUCACUCAAUAAGGAAACUUCAUUAACUAUACAUGGUAAAGAAACAUAGCAGAUCAGAAAAAGAAAAUUCUUUCAUGUAAAGCAUUGCAAAAGUCUUAGAAACUGGCUUGGCAUUUUCAUCUCUAGAUUUUUUUGCCAUUCUUGUAAAGCGCCAUGUCCAUCAUUAAUCACUUACGUAACCACUAGCCUUCUAAGAAAAUACUAUUGUAUGUUCACAUUUCCUUCUAUGGAUGUACUAGUAGCCUUUUCUUCAAUUUCUCAAAAGGGUGCCUCGAGUCCCAAAUCCAUUUAUCUACAAACUCCAUCUUGGAAGUCCUAACAGUAAUGCCAUUGAAGUAGCUUCUUCUCUUCAUUAUUAAGGAAUAAAAGCAUUCGGUAAAACAAAUACCAAAAAGAUGAAGAAGACUACUUGUAGACACCAAGCUUUAUGGCUUCUGCUAAAUCACUUAAGCCACGAGAUGACUUUAAGAUCAUCAGUGGAACCAUAAUUAUGGACAAUAUACAAAUUAGUGAAUAUUUCUAGUGUUUAAUACAAAACAAAAGAAAUUCCUAUGAACUAGUUUUGUACAUGGCAACUAUUAGUCUUUCA
rnacentral:lncRNA from 1 species